rnacentral:rRNA from 1 species
AACGCGAAGAACCUUACCUGGGCUCGAAAUGUAGUGGACCGGAGUAGAAAUAUUCCUUCCUAGCAAUAGGCUGCUAUAUAGGUGCUGCAUGGCUGUCGUCAGCUCGUGUCGUGAGAUGUUGGGUUAAGUCCCGCAACGAGCGCAACCCUUAUUACCAGUUGCUACCAUUUAGUUGAGCACUCUGGUGAGACCGCCUCGGAUAACGGGGAGGAAGGCGGGGAUGACGUCAAGUCCUCAUGGCCUUUAUGUCCAGGGCUACACACGUGCUACAAUGGUCGGUACAAACCGUCGCAAACCCGCGAGGGGGAGCUAAUCGGAAAAAGCCGACCUCAGUUCGGAUUACAGUCUGCAACUCGACUGUAUGAAGCUGGAAUCGCUAGUAAUCGCGGAUCAGAACGCCGCGGUGAAUACGUUCCCGGGCCUUGUA